ensembl:processed_transcript Trmt61b tRNA methyltransferase 61B
AGUCCUACUCUGCAACGUCGGACACUUUAAUAGUAACUGGGGAGCGAUUGCGUUCAGGGAGAUCGAGGACAAAUAUCCUGGCCAGAUCCUGACAUGUUUUCCCGGUAAGAGUUCUCUGCGGAGGCCACCUUUGGAGGACUCUGUAUAUUGAUGGAAGAGGGACCGCCGGAACCUAUCCCAAAAGUAUUGUCAUGGGAAUUAGGUGUGUGUGGGUUCCAGGAAGGGCGAGGACGGACGGCGCACUACCACAGUCCGAUGAAUGUUCUCAUCACCGACCUUUGGAGUUUUUCAGCAUGUUGGAUUUUUAAACAUGUUCAGGUUGGAAAAUUGAGAGUGUAAUGUUAACAGUAAAGUUUAACCUUUUAAGCUGGUGGAGGAAGUUCAGACCACACCUGAACUGGUACCUGAGAUGACAGCACUGAAUCUGAAGACAAAGAAGGAUCAAAUUAGAACUGACUAUUAUUAGUCACUACUUCAGAAAGUCUUUUUACCUUAUUUUGGUAUGUUUAGUUAUUACUAUGAUUUGUAUGACUUUUACAUGUGUUUGAAAAGUAACAGAAGCUAAAGGCCAUUGUGCAACUAGGUAACAGUCCCGUUUUCGUUCUCUUGCAUUUGGUUUGCCAUUCUGUAGCUGUGACUCCAGCUUGCUUUAGUUGAGCCUUGUCAUUCUUCACUCUCUGCAAACCAUUCCACGGAUUUGUUUUUCUUCACAAAAUUAGUCUCAUUUUCUUUGUUUGAUUGAUGGUCAUUGGCUACUGAAAUAAAAUAUGCAUUUUAAGGU